AUGCAAGUCGAACGAUGAUGCCCAGCUUGCUGGGUGGAUUAGUGGCGAACGGGUGAGUAACACGUGAGUAACCUGCCCUUGACUCUGGGAUAAGCCUGGGAAACUGGGUCUAAUACCGGAUACGACCAUUGCCCGCAUGGGUUGGUGGUGGAAAGCUUUUGUGGUUUUGGAUGGACUCGCGGCCUAUCAGCUUGUUGGUGAGGUAAUGGCUCACCAAGGCGACGACGGGUAGCCGGCCUGAGAGGGUGACCGGCCACACUGGGACUGAGACACGGCCCAGACUCCUACGGGAGGCAGCAGUGGGGAAUAUUGCACAAUGGGCGAAAGCCUGAUGCAGCGACGCCGCGUGAGGGAUGACGGCCUUCGGGUUGUAAACCUCUUUCAGUAGGGAAGAAGCGAAAGUGACGGUACCUGCAGAAGAAGCGCCGGCUAACUACGUGCCAGCAGCCGCGGUAAUACGUAGGGCGCAAGCGUUAUCCGGAAUUAUUGGGCGUAAAGAGCUCGUAGGCGGUUUGUCGCGUCUGCUGUGAAAGGCCAGGGCUCAACCCUGGUUCUGCAGUGGGUACGGGCAGACUUGAGUGAUGUAGGGGAGACUGGAAUUCCUGGUGUAGCGGUGAAAUGCGCAGAUAUCAGGAGGAACACCGAUGGCGAAGGCAGGUCUCUGGGCAUUAACUGACGCUGAGGAGCGAAAGCAUGGGGACGAACAGGAUWAGAUACCCU
rnacentral:rRNA from 1 species